UCUCUCAUAGUGUAGUGGUUUAGCACGUAGGAUUUUGAUUCAUACCAAACUUCCUGAGUCCCCGGUUCGAUCCCGGGUGAGAGAU